CGUCUAUAUACGUAUAGCAUAUCAAUAAGCGGAGGAAAAGAAACUAACAAGGAUUCCCUUAGUAACGGCGAGUGAAGCGGGAAGAGCUCAAAUUUGAAAUCUUCAAGGUUCUACCUUGACGAAUUGUAGUUUAAAGAAGUGUUUUCUGUUAGAGGAGUGGCAAAAGUUCCUUGGAAUAGGACAUCAUAGAGGGUGAGAAUCCCGUAUUUGGUCAUUCUUUCUAGCUGUGUGAUACACUUUCAAAGAGUCGGAUUGUUUGGGAAUGCAGUCCAAAAUGGGUGGUAAAUUUCAUCUAAAGCUAAAUAUUGGCGAGAGACCGAUAGCGAACAAGUACCGUGAGGGAAAGAUGAAAGGAACUUUGAAAAGAGAGUUAAACAGUACGUGAAAUUGUCAAAAGGGAAGCGUUUGACACCAGCGUUGUUUUUCCGAAAAUCAAUUAAGAGUGGCUUGAUUUUGUGUUGUAUUGACCUUAUCAGCUUUCUUCACUCUUUUUCGAGUCUUUCUUAAUGCACUUUUCGGUUAACAAGUCAACAUCAAUUUCUUUUGUUGUAAAAGGGUAUUUGGAAGGUGGCUUUCUUUUCGGAGAAAGUGUUUAUAGCCUUAUACCUCUACAAUCGGAGAGAUUGAGGUCUGCAGCGUAGAUCCUUCGGGGCUAGAUACACUUGUGCUAAGUUAUAGCUUUUCAUAGACAACUUGUUGACUAUGUUUAGUCAUGUAGCUUACCCGCUUGUGCUAUUUUACCUACGCUUAGGAUGUUGAGUCAUCACACAUCUCU
rnacentral:rRNA from 1 species